rnacentral:rRNA from 1 species
AUUGAACGCUGGCGGUAUGCUUAACACAUGCAAGUCGAACGGCAGCAUGGUCUAGCUUGCUAGACUGAUGGCGAGUGGCGGACGGGUGAGUAACGCGUAGGAAUAUGCCUUGAAGAGUGGGACAACUUGGGGAAACUCAAGCAAAUACCGCAUGUACUCGAGAGAGUAAAGCUGAGGACCCUUAGGCCUGGCGCUUUACGAUUAGCCUGCGUCCGAUUAGCUAGUUGGUAGGGUAAAGGCCUACCAAGGCGACGAUCGGUAGCUGGUCUGAGAGGAUGAUCAGCCACACUGGAACUGAGAGACGGUCCAGACUCCUACGGGAGGCAGCAGUGGGGAAUAUUGGACAAUGGGGGGAACCCUGAUCCAGCAAUGCCGCGUGUGUGAAGAAGGCCUGAGGGUUGUAAAGCACUUUCAGUGGGGAGGAGGUUUGGAGGGUUAAGAGCUAUUCAAAUGGACGUUACCCACAGAAGAAGCACCGGCUAACUCCGUGCCAGCCGCCGCCGUAA